rnacentral:tRNA from 1 species
GGGGCCACAGCUCAAUGGUAGAGCAUGUGCUUAGCAUGCACAAGGUCCUGGGUUCAAUCCCCAGUACCUCCA